UACAGAGGUCUCAAGCGUUGUUCGGAUUCAUUGGGCGUAAAGGGUGCGUAGGUGGCGGGGUAAGUCAGGUGUGAAAUUUCGGAGCUCAACUCCGAAACUGCAUUUGAUACUGCCUUGCUUGAGGACUGGAGAGGAGACUGGAAUUCACGGUGUAGCAGUGAAAUGCGUAGAUAUCGUGAGGAAGACCAGUGGCGAAGGCGGGUCUCUGGACAGAUCCUGACACUGAGGCACGAAGGCCAGGGGAGCAAACGGG
rnacentral:rRNA from 1 species